UGUUCCCGGGUUCCCUCCCCGGCGCGUCUUUCCCGGCCCGCCCGGUGCAUUGUGGGCUGACGUCUUGGUUUGGCUGUCUAGUGACGGAGGCUGCCGGGUCGGCUGGACCCUUGCGGAGUCUGUCGGAGGCGGGCUCAAGUUCAGGGCUGGGGACCGGGACCGCGACGCGGGGAUCCAGAAAGCUGGGGAGGCGUUCUAGUGGCCUGGGGCGGAGGGCUUGGGUGGAAGUGGAGUGGAGAUUGCACACAGCCGCGCGCGCGCGGCACACACACACACACACACACACACACAUACACACACCCGUGAAAGGACUGAAUGGUGAUCUGGGCGACUGAAGCUGGCUCCGCACCCCCGCACUUCCGGGAGGCAGCGAUGCGGGUUAAUAUGGUUGUGUGCGUCCCGGGUGCGGGAGCGCGAAAGUGGGUUGAAGUUGAGCGGGCUUGAGAAUGGCCCUCCCACGAUGAGUACGCAGGAAGUUUAGUUUCGGAGAAGGAUCUCUGCCGCAGUGUGCUGUACUUGGAAACCAGAGAUCUGCGGUGCUCGGAACCGAUUCAUCAGGGUCCCCAGCACAACACUUUAUUCUCUGGGGACGUGCCGGGAGGGGUUCGCUUUGCCUUGGAGGGACCCUUCCUCUAGGUGUGAAAGAUGCUAGCCUAGCGUCCAUGGGGUGUCGAAAGCAACAUAUAAGGGUUCAAAACUCAGGAAACCCCAGCGAUCGCCUGCUAGCACAGACACACGGUCCCGCGCACUCUCAGUUCGCACCCUCCUUCCCUCCCUCCCUGAUUUGCUUCUGGGAAAACAAGCCUUGAGAGCUGCGGACUCGCCCCAAGUCACGGUGCUUAAGCAGGAGUGCCUGCUUAAAACAAGCUGAAAACUCCCCUCCCCGCUCACUGGUGGAUUCAUAUCCUGUGCGGCCUCUAGGAAGCGCUAGACACAUGGUGUCCUUCAUAAGAAGAAAUGAUGGGUCGAAGUUGAGGCUUUUGUUCUGACUUUCCCAGCUUAAAAAGGAAGAAGAUUAUGUAUUGUUAUGUUUCUAUUGAGCAUGUAAGCUUCAUGAGAGCUUUCUACAGUGACCAUGCUUUACACUUGCAAACAAACAAACAAACAAAGCCAAUGUGUUUUUCAUCUGAUCAGCUGUCAUUCUAUCAUCUGGCCUUUGAAGGACUUUGAAAGAAGUCCUUUGGAAGAGCUGAGGUAAAAAAACCAAUUGUGGGUUUGCUAAUCACAGGAAGUACCGUGUUGUAUGCUUGUAUGUAUGGAGUGUGCAACUUGGAGAAAUCAGGACACAGAUUCUAUGAUACUUCCCUACUUAACAACCUUCUCCACACAGGGGAUAGGUUUCAGUCCACUCUGCUGCAGAGACAUAUCUUUUCUAUGACAUUGUGACCCAUUCUUACAGAUUUGGUAGUUAGAAGGGAAACAAGCGAAAAUGUUGUAAAAUGGCAGGAAGGCUGUUAUUACCAGUGUUUCUUUCGAUCCAUACCGUCCUUCAGCAUUCUGGCCCAUGGCUAAACCAUGACGAUGCUUCUAGUGAACACCCAAGUGCAUGGAGGUCUGGAUGCAUUGGAUCAGCAUUUUCUGUCUUGUUGGAACAAUGAUCAUCAUCUCCAGAGACUAGAACAACCUGAGUUUGUUUUCUGUGCUUGCCCAUUUACAACUUUAUUUAGGCCAAAAUUCUUACUCUGGAGACAGCCUGGAAGAGCCCUGCCUGAGAUACUGCCAGUGUGUCUCCUAGAAGAGAUGGAAGUUGUACCACUGAGUGACUCUUACAGCUUUGUCUAGAGAUCACUGUUGUUCAUCAUCCAUGGGCUAAAGCACGUCACAAGAAUGACCUGACACAGAAGAACAUGGCGUCGAUAGACAGGUCAGGUGUUUGUUAUUUAGCAAUAUGAAUUUUAGAUUCUCUAUCUAGAGAAUGGAAAUAGGUAAAGAAACAAACUAAUUAUAUAGUUUGUUUGCAUAUUAUAAUUCAAACUAUGGAAUAUCAUAUAACCGCAUUGGAAGGUGAGUUGUCUGGAAAGCACUAGCUGACCUGGAGGAAUCUAGUGCUGGAUUUAAAUGAGCAAAGCAAGCUGUAAGGACAUAUUGGAGACCAUGUAAGUAUCUUUUUAUUUCUGACAAAUUGAAAAAGACAUAAGCCAGGCAUGGUGGUACAUACUGUAAUUCCCGCACUCAGAAGGCUGAGACAGAAGGAUUGCUACAAGUUUGAGGCCUGCCUGGUCUACAGAGUGAAUUCAAGGUGUUUCCAACAAAUAGGUAACAACAAUAAAACUAAACUAAACCAAGCCUAUGUAUGAGUCUAUGAAUGCACUGGUAUGUGAUUAUUAAUAAAAAUUCCUCAUGAAUAGUUA